AAUCAAUCAGCUUAAUUUCAAAUGAUCUUUCAACUAAAUGAUGUUGCAGAAAUGCUUAUCUUAUCUGUUUCUAACUACAGAAACCAUUUCUGAACAAUCUGAGAUGGUGGAUGUCAUGGACUGCUGAAAUGACAUGACCCUACAGUGUGGGUAAACAGUUCUGUGUGAGCUGAAUCUCAAUCUGCUAUCCUAGGUAGAGUAAAGGCUGAAUCUCAAUCUGCUAUCCUAGGUAGAGAAGAGGCUGAACCUCAAUCUGCUAUCCUAGGUAGAGAAGAGGCUGAACCUCAAUCUGCUAUCCUAGGUAGAGAAGAGGCUGAAUCUCAAUCUGCUAUCCUAGGUAGAGAAGAGGCUGAAUCUCAAUCUGCUAUCCUAGGUAGAGAAGAGGCUGAAUCUCAAUCUGCUAUCCUAGGUAGAGAAGAGGCUGAAUCUCAAUCUGCUAUCCUAGGUAGAGAAGAGGCUGAAUCUCAAUCUGCUAUCCUAGGUAGAGAAGAGGCUGAAUCUCAAUCUGCUAUCCUAGGUAGAGAAGAGGCUGAAUCUCAAUCUGCUAUCCUAGGUAGAGAAGAGGCUGUCAUGGCUGCACUGAGGGGCUUGUGGGGGCAAC
rnacentral:lncRNA from 1 species